GACGAACGCUGGCGGCGUGCCUAAUACAUGCAAGUAGAACGCUGAAGAGAGGAGCUUGCUCUUCUUGGAUGAGUUGCGAACGGGUGAGUAACGCGUAGGUAACCUGCCUGGUAGCGGGGGAUAACUAUUGGAAACGAUAGCUAAUACCGCAUAAAAUUGAUUAUUGCAUGAUAAUUAAUUGAAAGAUGCAACUGCAUCACUACCAGAUGGACCUGCGUUGUAUUAGCUAGUUGGUGAGGUAACGGCUCACCAAGGCGACGAUACAUAGCCGACCUGAGAGGGUGAUCGGCCACACUGGGACUGAGACACGGCCCAGACUCCUACGGGAGGCAGCAGGAGGGAAUCUUCGGCAAUGGGGGGAACCCUGACCGAGCAACGCCGCGUGAGUGAAGAAGGGUUUCGGAUCGUAAAGCUCUGUUGUAAGAGAAGAACGGGUGUGAGAGUGGAAAGUUCACACUGUGACGGUACCUUACCAGAAAGGGACGGCUAACUACGUG
rnacentral:rRNA from 1 species